ACCGGCCACACUGGGACUGAGACACGGCCCAGACUCCUACGGGAGGCAGCAGUGGGGAAUAUUGCACAAUGGGCGAAAGCCUGAUGCAGCGACGCCGCGUGAGGGAUGACGGCCUUCGGGUUGUAAACCUCUUUCGCCAGGGACGAAGCGCAAGUGACGGUACCUGGAUAAGAAGCACCGGCUAACUACGUGCCAGCAGCCGCGGUAAUACGUAGGGUGCGAGCGUUGUCCGGAUUUAUUGGGCGUAAAGAGCUCGUAGGCGGUUUGUCGCGUCGGCUGUGAAAUCUGGAGGCUUAACCUUCAGCGUGCAGUCGAUACGGGCAGACUUGAGUUCGGUAGGGGAGACUGGAAUUCCUGGUGUAGCGGUGAAAUGCGCAGAUAUCAGGAGGAACACCGGUGGCGAAGGCGGGUCUCUGGGCCGAUACUGACGCUGAGGAGCGAAAGCGUGGGGAGCGAACAGGAUUAGAUACCCUGGUAGUCCACGCUGUAAAACGGUGGGUGCUAGGUGUGGGGCGACUUUCCACGUUGUCCGUGCCGUAGCUGACGCCUUUAUGCACCCCGCCUGGGGAUUACGGCCUCCAUGUCUAUUAACUCAAAGGAA
rnacentral:rRNA from 1 species